AGGAUGAACGCUGGCGGCGUGCUUAACACAUGCAAGUCGAACGAUGAAAGCCGGAGCUUGCUCUGGCUGGAUUAGUGGCGAACGGGUGAGUAACACGUGAGUAACCUGCCCUUGACUCUGGGAUAAGCACUGGAAACGGUGUCUAAUACCGGAUACGAGCUUCAGCCGCAUGGCUAGGAGCUGGAAAGAAUUUCGGUCAAGGAUGGACUCGCGGCCUAUCAGGUAGUUGGUGAGGUAAAGGCUCACCAAGCCGACGACGGGUAGCCGGCCUGAGAGGGUGACCGGCCACACUGGGACUGAGACACGGCCCAGACUCCUACGGGAGCAGCAGUGGGAAUAUGCACAAUGGCGCAAGCCUGAUGCAGCAACGCCGCGUGAGGGACGACGGCCGUUCGGUGUAAACCUCGUUUAGUAGGUACGAAGCGUAUGUGUUUACACGGAGUGACGGUAC
rnacentral:rRNA from 1 species